GAUGAACGCUAGCGGCAGGCCUAAUACAUGCAAGCUGAACGGUAAAUAUUGUAGCAAUACAAUAUGAGAGUAGCGUAAGGGUGCGUAACACGUAUGCAAUCUACCCUGUACAGGAGGAUAGCUCGGGGAAACUCGGAUUAAUACUCCGUAAUAUAUUGAUAGGGCAUCUUAUCGAUAUUAAAGUCGCAAGACGGUAUAGGAUGAGCAUGCGUCUGAUUAGCUAGUUGGUGGUGUAACGGACUACCAAGGCGAUGAUCAGUAGGGGAACUGAGAGGUUGAUCCCCCACACUGGCACUGAGAUACGGGCCAGACUCCUACGGGAGGCAGCAGUAGGGAAUAUUGGUCAAUGGAUGGAAGUCUGAACCAGCCAUGCCGCGUGCAGGAAGAAGGCCUUCUGGGUUGUAAAACUGCUUUUACCGGGGGAUAAAAAUUCUCAUGCGUGGGAAAUUGAAGGUACCCGGUGAAUAAGCCACGGCUAACUACGUGCC
rnacentral:rRNA from 1 species